AUAUUACCAGAUGUAAAAUUAAGUUCUCCUUUGGUAAUAAGCAGCCAAUGAGUUCUCACGGCAUUUUGAGUUGGAUGGUUAUCCUCAUGGUGAACCAGUCAAUAAAUCGCCUGUCAUCAGAGAA